CAGGACGAACGCUGGCGGCGUGGAUUAGGCAUGCAAGUCGAACGGUUUUGAACAUCAUCUUAUCCGGCUUGCCGGAUAAGACGUUCAGAAUAGUGGCGAAAGGGUGAGUAAUGCAAGGGUAACAUGCCCUUAAGCUGGGGAUAACUCCGAGAAAUCGGAGCUAAUACCGAAUGUGGUCCUUUGAUGGAAUCAUUAGAGGACUAAAGAUGGGGACCCUUCGGGGCCUUUCGCUUAAGGAGUGGCUCUUGUCCUAUUAGCCUGUUGGUGGGGUAACGGCUCACCAAAGCAAUAAUGGGUAGCUGGUCUGAGAGGAUGAUCAGCCACACUGGGACUGAGACACUGCCCAGACUCCUACGGGAGGCUGCAGUCGAGAAUCUUUCGCAAUGGGGGAAACCCUGACGAAGCGACGCCGCGUGGAGGAUGAAGGCCCUCGGGUUGUAAACUCCUGUCACUUGGGAUGAAAAGUGGGGCCAUUAAUACCGGUUCUGCCUGACAGUACCUUGAAAGGAAGCUCCGGCUAACUACGUGCCAGCAGCCGCGGUAAUACGUAGGGAGCAAGCGUUGUUCGGAUUUACUGGGCGUAAAGGGUGUGUAGGUUGCUUGGUAAGUCAGUUGUGAAAUCCUUACUGCUCAACAGAAGAAUUGCAAUUGAUACUACCAGGCUAGAGUUCGGUAGAGGAGAGCGGAAUUCUCGGUGUAGCGGUGAAAUGCGUAGAUAUCGAGAAGAACACCAGUGGCGAAGGCGGCUUUCUGGACGCACACUGACGCUCAGGCGCGAAAGCGCGGGUAGCAAACAGGAUUAGAUACCCUGGUAGUCCACGCCAUAAACGAUGGGUACUAGGUGUCGGGGGUAUCGACCCCUCCGGUGCCGCAGUUAACGCACUAAGUACCCCGUCUGGGGAUUAUGGUCGCAAGGCUGAAACUCAAAGGAAUUGACGGGGCCCCGCACAAGCGGUGGAGCAUGUGGUUUAAUUCGACGCAACGCGAAGAACCUUACCUGGGCUUGACAUGCUUGGGACGGCGCUGGAAACAGCGUCUCUCCUUCGGGAGCCCUUGCACAGGUGCUGCAUGGCUGUCGUCAGCUCGUGUCGUGAGAUGUUGGGUUAAGUCCCGCAACGAGCGCAACCCUCGUUACUAGUUGCCAUCAGUUCGGCUGGGCACUCUAGUGAGACUGCCGGUGAUAAACCGGAGGAAGGUGAGGAUGAUGUCAAGUCAUCAUGGCCCUUACGCCCAGGGCUACACACGUGCUACAAUGGUCGGCACAAAGGGUCGCUAAGCCGCGAGGUGGAGCUAAUCCCAAAAAGCCGGCCUCAGUUUGGAUUGGAGUCUGCAACCCGACUCCAUGAAGGCGGAAUCGCUAGUAAUCGCGGAUCAGCAUGCCGCGGUGAAUAUGUUCCNCGGGGCUUGUACACACCGCCCGUCAUAUCACCCGAGUCGGGGAUACCCGAAGUCCGUGACCCAACC
rnacentral:rRNA from 1 species